UCUGGCACAGCAAUGGUGCGAACUCUCCUCCUCGGCACAUUUCCCCUUGAAACCCUGCUUCAGAGCAACCUCAACGGUGGCAAGCCAAAGCGAGGUGAUGGGGAGCAGCUGGAAGCCCUGGACCCAGGAAAAAAGGCGGCCAUAAUCGAGGCAACAAUGAAGAAGUGGCCACACACAACGAAGGGCCAGCUGGGUACAGCCAUCAACAACAAGCUGACAGAGCUCAGGGCUUGCCAAAAGCAGACAAAAUAAUUGAC